rnacentral:lncRNA from 1 species
ACAACUGUAAAAUAAUAUUUUAGAGCUGAAAGGGACUUCAAAAUCACCUAGCCUUAGAUCUUCAUUUUCCAGAUGAGGAAACUGUGGUCCAGAGAGGGAUACCACAAUGACAAACCAGAGAGCUGCUGGGCUAAGCACACGGGUUGCUCACCUCCACACCACUCAGUCCCGUCUCCCCUUCACUUUGAAAAUCAGGACCAAAUGGGGGAAACAGAAGCUGGACUCUAACACAUCUAAGUCAUGGGCAUUUGCAGUCCCUUUUAUUUUCUUUGGUUUAUUCAGGAAGAGGGAAGCAGAGGAGCAUGACUAGUUGGCAAUGAGGAAAGUCAGGAACUUCUCAAUUCAGAUGCUUCACCCUAACAGGUCAAACACUGUAUCCAUUCGUCCUCAUCACAUAGUCCUUUGCUUUUCACAUGAGCCUAGGUAGGGAGCCCUCAAGGUGGGGCUGCUUGCCCCCUGGGGAUAAACUGGAGAACAGAGUAGAAGACAGCCAUGAGCUCCCUUGGUGGGAAAAGGCUGGCGGCAGAGCUCUCAAAUUCAGGGGCCCCAGAGAGGUGAUGUGCCCAUCUGUUCCAAGUCCCUCUAAAGCUUGAUCUCUAACCCUUCUGUCAAUGCCCUCCCCAUCUCCAACCCCCCACACAAAGAAGGGGCCAUUCAGAUUUCAUAUAAAAAACUCAACAGAAAAAAUAAACAGAAAAACAGAUCACAUAUGACAUGUCCCAACUGCUCUGAGUUCCACACAAUUAUUCUUCUUUGAGUAGAUAAAAAUAUAAUUCCAUACAUAGGAAUUGUGUGUGUGUGUGUGUGUGUGUGUACACAUACAUAUAUGACAGCUCUCUAUCUACCUACCUACCUCCUUCCUGCCAUUUCAGAACUAUUAGAGAAAGCAGCAGGGAUGGGGCUGUGUAAACGGUGCUCCUCAUUCGUGUUCAGACAGCCCACUUUCAAGCAUGAAACUUCAUUUAGGAUUCACGGAGACGUUGGGAUAGCACACUGUUCAGAGCCAAGAAAGGUAACAAAUAAAUAUCAUCUUCAUCUUCAUGCCACCUGCAGAGGCCCUUCCCCCAAUUCCAUCUUACCCCAGAUAUGUUCUGGUUUUUUGUCUAGAACAGCACAGGAUAAUCCUUGUAGAAUCCGAGCCUGGGCCUCAGUCACCCCUUAACAUAAAGAGAAGGUGACCCAUUAAAAUACUAAAUGUCCAGUGACUCCUCUGGGGGCUGUCUUAACAUGUAUUCAUUCUCUCGGUCUUUCUCCUUUUUCCUUACUCAAAUUCCUUUCCCU